AUACCUUUCUCGACCUUUUGGCUAAGAUAAGGUGUAAUAUUUGUUAUUUAUCAAUUUAAAAUAUGAUAUGUAGAUCGUAUAUUCACUAUAAUAUUAAAUUAUUUUUAUGGGCAUCAAAUAUGAUUGUGUGUUGUCGCAACGCAUAGGCGUUGUACUAUGUUUGUAUAUAAACGGAGGAUAGUUGUAGCAACACAU
rfam:Zea mays cultivar B73 chromosome 3, whole genome shotgun sequence.